rnacentral:rRNA from 1 species
UAACACAUGCAAGUCGAACGAGAAGUACGUAGCAAUACGUAUUGUAAAGUGGCGCACGGGUGAGUAACACGUGGGUAAUCUGCCCUUGAGUUUGGGAUAACCCCGCGAAAGCGGGGCUAAUACCGGAUAAGACCACGGAGACCAAAGUCUCUGAGGUAAAAGGUGGCCUCUAUUUAUAAGCUACCACUUGAGGAUGAGCCCGCGGCCCAUUAGCUAGUUGGCAGGGUAACGGCCUACCAAGGCAAUGAUGGGUAGCUGGUCUGAGAGGACGAUCAGCCACACUGGAACUGAGACACGGUCCAGACUCCUACGGGAGGCAGCAGUGGGGAAUAUUGCGCAAUGGGCGAAAGCCUGACGCAGCAACGCCGCGUGGGGGAUGAAGGUUCUCGGAUUGUAAGCCCCUUUCGAUCGGAACGAAUCCCCUCCUGGUAAAUAAUCAGGAGGAUCGACGGUACCGAGAGAAGAAGCCACGGCUAACUCUGUGCCAGCAGCCGCGGUAAGACAGAGGUGGCGAGCGUUGUUCGGAUUUAUUGGGCGUAAAGCGAACGCAGGUGGUUUGGUAAGUCAGGGGUGAAAGACCACAGCUUAACUGUGGCAUUGCCUUUGAUACUGCCUUUCUUGAGUAGAGUAGGGGGAAGCGGAAUUCCGAGUGUAGAGGUGAAAUUCGUAGAUAUUCGGAGGAACACCGGUGGCGAAGGCGGCUUCCUGGACUCUAACUGACACUCAUGUUCGAAAGCGUGGGGAGCAAACAGGAUUAGAUACCCUGGUAGUCCACGCCCUAAACGAUGGGCACUAGGUGUGGGAGGUAUCGACCCCUUCCGUGCCGCAGCUAACGCAUUAAGUGCCCCGCCUGGG